rnacentral:rRNA from 1 species
GUAGGGAAUAUUGGGCAAUGGAGGCAACUCUGACCCAGCCAUGCCGCGUGCAGGAUGACGGCCCUCUGGGUUGUAAACUGCUUUUAUACGGGAAGAAAAAAUACUACGUGUAGUAUACUGACGGUACCGUAAGAAUAAGGAUCGGCUAACUCCGUGCCAGCAGCCGCGGUAAUACGGAGGAUCCAAGCGUUGUCCGGAUUUAUUGGGUUUAAAGGGUGCGUAGGCGGAUCUUUAAGUCAGUGGUGAAAGCCUGCAGCUUAACUGUAGAAUUGCCAUUGAAACUGAAGAUCUUGAAUGUGGUUAAAGUAGGCGGAAUGUAUCAUGUAGCGGUGAAAUGCUUAGAUAUUAUACAGAACACCGAUAGCGAAGGCAGCUUGCUGAACCAUUAUUGACGCUGAGGCACGAAAGCGUGGGGAGCGAACAGGAUUAGAUACCCCAGUAGUCC